UGGGGAAUCUUCCGCAAUGGACGAAAGUCUGACGGAGCAACGCCGCGUGAGUGAUGACGGCCUUCGGGUUGUAAAGCUCUGUUAAUCGGGACGAAAGGCCUUCUUGCGAAUAGUUAGAAGGAUUGACGGUACCGGAAUAGAAAGCCACGGCUAACUACGUGCCAGCAGCCGCGGUAAUACGUAGGUGGCAAGCGUUGUCCGGAAUUAUUGGGCGUAAAGCGCGCGCAGGCGGAUUGGUCAGUCUGUCUUAAAAGUUCGGGGCUUAACCCCGUGAUGGGAUGGAAACUGCCAAUCUAGAGUAUCGGAGAGGAAAGUGGAAUUCCUAGUGUAGCGGUGAAAUGCGUAGAUAUAUGGAGGAACACCGGUGGCGAAAGCGGCUCUCUGGUCUGUAACUGACGCUGAGGCUCGAAAGCGUGGGGAGCGAACAGGAUUAGAUACCCUGGUAGUCCACGCCGUAAACGAUGAGUGCUAGGUGUUGGAUCCUUUCCGGGAUUCAGUGCCGCAGCUAACGCAUUAAGCACUCCGCCUGGGGAGUACGACCGCAAGGUUG
rnacentral:rRNA from 1 species